AUCAAUUUACCUUUAACCAUGUAGUUUUCACGUUCAACAGGAAGAAAGGAACCAGGAAAUCUCAAAUGUGAUGCAAUUCAUCAGUGUGCAGUUCACAAUAGCUAUUUUCUGUCCCUUCUUGUAGGACUGCACUGUAAAUUCAUAGCUCCCUCAAGAAACCAUGAUUGCUCAAACACACUCUUCUUCAUAGCUCUUCAUGCUAUACUCUAAUAAUAUUUGCAUUCCUAAAGUCUCGUUAAAAUAUUGAACUGGGUUUCAUAAAACAUCCCAUAAAUAAGGAGUGUACUUUAUGGUAUCAUUUCUCAUAAUUGUAUUUUAAAAGGAGACAAUCUCUUCAUUGCAGUUUUAGUAUCUCAAAAAAAGGUAACGUUGGAGUUCCCGUCAUGGCGCAGUGGUUAACAAAUCCGACUAGGAACCAUGAGGUUUCGGGUUCGAUGCCUGCCCUUGCUCAGUGGGUUAAGGAUCUGGCGUUGCUGUGAGCUGUAGCGUAGGUCGCAGACGCGGCUCGGAUCCUGCAUUGCUGUGGCUCUGGCGUAGGCCAGUGGCUAUAGCUCCGAUUCGACCCCUAGCCUGGGAAUCUCCAUAUGCCGAGGGAGCAGCCCAAGAAAUGGCAAAAAGACCAAAAAAAAAAAAAAAAAGAACUUGGUAGGUUUGUCAAAAACCUGCACUCCAGAUAGAUACCACAGGUAAUUCUGCAGAUUGACCCAUAAUCACCAUUUUAAGAACCACCGGCUUAAAGGCAAAUAAAUAGAUUAGGGUUGCUUGCUAUCAUUGCUUUGGUUAGUUACAAGUUAAAUAGACAAUAUGGAGGCACAGAGCCACCAAACAGUUAAUUUGUGCAAAAGUGCCAACUGGCUUUGGUUCUUGAAGUUCUAUUGUAUUAAAGAGAAGAAACACAGCCAAAUAAGAUGUGCUGAGGGGAAAUGUGGCCUUUCUAUAAGGAAAACUUAUUUUACAAAUGCUUUGUUACUUACAGAUGUUCAAGCUCAGAGAUAAUGUAUUCCAAGUUUAUUAAACCAGUUUUCCUCCAUUACCUUGAAUCAAUGUUGACUAAGGGCCUGGGAUUAGAGAAAGUGCUAGAGCAAAUCAAGCCUUUGCAGGCCCAGGACCUGAAUCAAGUCUUAAAAAACAACCUGUACAGCAGUCACACUUUGCCAAAUACCUGGUAAAAUUAGUUGGCUAAAUCCAUUGAGGCACUUUCCAAAGAUGUUAGAUGUUAUUUUAUAGCUAUGUCCCUCUUUGACAGGCAGCUACAGGAUUCUCUUUACUAUCAGUUCUAUACCCAGUGGGACCUUGCACCAAGGAUCCGUGCCACCAAGUAGAACAUACAAUCUGAUCAUAUUUGCUACUUUCUAAGCAAGUAUAAGAAUAUACUUGGCUAAGUCUGUAUACUGCCCACAACUGCUAAAUUGUUCUGCAUAAGAAAGAAGACUAAGAGGACAUUUUUUGUAAGACUGGGUAAUUGGAAAGUUAGAAACAAAAGCUUAGGAGAAGCAAUACUAUUCAGAUAUGAUCCCUGGCCUGGGAACUCCAUAUGCUGUGUGGUGGCCAAAAAAUAAAAAUAAAAUUUGGUAAGAUAAACCUCAUGUAUUUUUUUUACCACAUUAAAAAAAAACAAAAAACAAAAAACACUUAGGAGUUAAGUGCACAGGAUUUUGUGAGCAAAAUAGGAUUAAUUCUUGAGAUUCAAACCCCCUACUCAGUCUCCCAUGUGAAACUGUUAGUAAAAUAUGUAUUACUUAUUAAUGCCUCAUGAAGUAACUUCUCAUUGGAAGAUGUGACUAAGUACAAAGCCCUGUUUUAAAUAUUACGAUGUGUCAAAGGUUGCCCAAAGAGGGUAAGUACACAUGGGAAUGUAUAUGGACUGGUGACCAAAUUAAGUCCAAUAUAGCUUUGAUAAUUGCUUUAUAAAAUGCCAACCCCUCAAUGAAGAGUCUACCAUCUUAAAAGAAAAUCUUCACAAUGCUUAUUCCUGAUUAAUUUUAUAGUAGUCUGUCAAGGAAUAAGAAGUAUGCUUAUUUGUGAUUCCACUGCAUUAAAACUUUUACCUAGUGAUAUCAUAAUUAAAGGUUAAAUUUUCCCUGAGAGGAGGCAGAUAACCCUUUUCCAUUUAUUAAUGUCACUUAUCCCACUAGUUUAUUCUUUUUGAAUACUGAGCAUGACUCAGGCCUUAGCUGACAAUUCCAUUAGUUUUUCCCUUUUAUUUAUUAUUUUAUUUUAUUUAUGUCUUUUUGCCUUUUUCUAGGGCUGCACCUUCGGCAUAUGGAAGUUCCCAGGCUAGGGGUGGAAUUGGAGCUGUAGCCACCGGCUUACACCAGAGCCACAGAAACGUGGGAUCUGAGCCACAUCUGCGACCUACACCACAGCUCAUGGCAAUGCCAGAUCCUUAACCCACUGAGCGAGGGCAGUGUACAACCACCUACCUAGCACUCAGUAGGUAAAAAAUUAAGUAAAGCGGCCACGAGAGAAGUAUGCAUGAAAGCAAAGUUAACUUGUUUAUAAUUUGUUAGGUGCUGUGAUUUAUCUUUACUUCCAUUUCCUUCCUGUGUCACUAAGAGACGGGGUGUAAAGCCUUUUACUAUUUAUUUUAAAUGUAUCAAAACAUUUUAAAUAUUAUUAGAAAUUCAUCUUAAUGACAGUGUAUUAUUCCAUCCAUUGGCUCUGACAGAGGGUAUAUAAUUUCUUGCCUAUCCAUUUAGUCAGUUCUCAGUAUUUGUAUUCUGACUUCUUAGCUAAAAUGCCUUCCCUCUUUUCUAUGUACCAAUGAUCCCUUGAUGAUCAGCAUGCUCUCUGGCUUAACAGUUUACAUUUUGGCAUUAUUUGUUUUUAAGUUCAAAAUAUUUCCUUUAGUUGCUCUAGUCCACAAAUCCACAAAAUGUUUUUUGUAAAGGGGGCCAUAUAGGAAGUAUUUUAGACUUUCAGUCUCAUUCACAUUUCAGUCCCCCACCCCCACAAUAACCCUUUAAAAAUAUAAACAACACUCUAACUCCCCAACUAUAAAACACAGGCGAUGCUUGCUAUAGCUUGCCCAUUUCUAUUCUAGUCCUUAAUGAGAAAAAAGGUAAAUAAAGCUCAAUUUCAUGAAUGCAUAUAUCAUCAUAGUAACUUCAAAGUGCUAGCCGGAUAUUUGGUUCAACAUGGUCUUCACCAUAAUGCUUUUUGGUAUCUGAAAUUAUCACUGAAUGGUGUUUGGUCAAUUAAUGCAGCAAGUAUUAAAUAUACUCACACUUUAUACCUUGGGGGAAAAGAAACUCUGUUAUAAAGUAAGAAUAACUUACACUGGGAUUUAAGUUUAUUACUACAUAGGUACACUAAUCAUACGCUCAUGUGUAUGAUUUUAUAGUUUUACAUGUAACAUCCUGCAUCUCAAAUGGCUCCUAAAACUUGCUACUGUAGUUCUAGUAACAUUAACAGAACUUACUUUAUGAAAAUAUUCUCAAAGAUUUAAAAAAAUAAAUACAUUAAGGUUAAAUUUAUCGAACUGCUUCGUUUACUUGGUAGUCUACCGCGGGAGUGAGUUAUACAUCCAAAUAAUGUAUGCUAUUUGUCACCUACCUAUCCAGUUCCUCAUUUCACUCAUGUUUUGUGGGACAGAACCAAUUUGGAGUAUUGUAUUCAAUUCUAGGAGCCCAGAGGACAAAAAGAGUGACCAAAGAUAUAAUAAACUGCUCCAAGAUCACUGUGGCUACUUAAACAGAGGUCAGUCACUUGUUGGGCAAACUAAUGCAUGCAUUAAAGACAGACAGCACUGGAAACCUCACACGGUUUUAGGCUAAUCUUAAAUUCUACAUCUCCACUAAUAUGUUAAGCUUAUGCUGAAUGGAGCAAGACUGCAUUGUGGUAGCCCACAAAUAUACCUGCUCUCUUGAGAUACAGUGUUUCAGAAAAAUUUUAAUGGAGUGUUCUUGUUCAUGUAAUU
ensembl:lncRNA